rnacentral:lncRNA from 1 species
GUUAUCAUCAAACUGUGGUGUUUCAACGAGGACGAUCUUUAUCAACAAUGAGGUAAUGUGCCUGGAAAUUGUUUUCAAAAUUUCAAUGCUUUGGAGCUAACUCAUGUUAUAAUUUUGCAGGGUUGAAUUAGAUCUUCACAGACAAAUACAUCUUUAUGUAAUAAAAAUGCUGAUAUGAUGAUCGGGUAUAAUAUUACAAAAAAUAUGAAAAUUCAAUGGAUUUGUUUUCCUUAUCAUUAUAGUAAUCAGAAUGUUUUGUCUUGCAUUAUAUUAUUGGUUCAACAUCUUUAUUUGUAUGAUGUAGGAGGAGUUGCAGAAGAUAGAUUUCAAAUGGCUUGAAUAAGAAGAGAUGCAGAUCACUAUUCUAGACAGGUUCUUGAUCCUAACCAGAUCACACUUUUUGUUGUUACCUAUAUAAAUGUAUGUCCUGAGCUUCCGUUCUUGUCAUUUUUAGGUUCAUAUACAUCAUCACACUGAUUGAUUCAUUCACUAGGUUACGAUGUCGAGGUUACAUACGUACAUUACUUAUUCUUGAGCAGAAUAUUAUUCUUUUUUGUAGCAGAGGAGAAUAGUGCUCACUGUAAAUUAGUUGGGUAUAUACCAACAACCAAAAAGCUCAAAACAUUUUGUGAGAAAUAGAAUAAAUCAAGCCUUGCUCGAAUUAGACAAGAAACAUAUUGAUCAAUCAUUCCUUAAAAUAGUUUGACUUUGUCAUAAGGACUAUAAAAGAAGCCGCAUUAUGACAUGCCUAAGCUACAACAAAUAAUAUAUAUUCUUAUUUGGUCUAAAAUACAGCAACUAAUAUAAGACGUUCUAGAUUCAGUGAUCUAAAAUGUCUUAUAUUAGUUACAGAGGGAGUAUUAUCCUUUGUGCUGAUUAAUUUAUAUGUACUAACUUAUAUUUAUGUGUUUUUUAGAGUGGACGGUCAGCUGUGAUAGUUCAAACUGUUGUGAGAUGUAUUUUGAGAUCAUCCUCCUAACAAGAGACAAAUUAGUUGAUUAUUUUGCUAGAUAGUGUUGCUGUCUCCUUAAAACCGAGGCUUCUUUCUCAUCGGAUAUAGAACUGUGAAUUUGUAAAUUAUAUUUAUUCUAUCUUUUCAAACAGAAUGAAAAGCCAUCUUCUAUUUUCUUCCAUCCAACUUUUCUUCAGCUUGAAAUGUGCAAAACAUUUGUCACAGGGAUAUUGUACUUUGAUCAAUGGAUGUGAUAAAAAAACACCAUGAAAUAGACAUGGAAGGGGGGGAUCUGAAUGCACGAAACAAAUAAUGCAAAGCCUCGUGAAGUGGCAGAAAACUAUAUGUCUUAUGUACCUUUUAGUUUCCCUUCAAGUGGGAUGCCAAGCCUCAUGAAGUGGUAGAAAAUUGAGCAAUAUUAAGCUCAGUUUGUUGGCAUUGAUCCUAAUCAUUUCAUAUUCGGCUCAAAUUUUGCUACGAAAAACUUUCUCAAUGCAUGCUUACAGAUGCUAAUUGCAUACAAGUAUGCACAAGAUAUGUAGAGGAGUUUCUAUCACUAAUUUUUAUAGUAUUGAGUUGAUUUAAUGGUAACUAACACUGGGUGGUAGGAUGUAUUUUUCCUAUACACACACACAUGAGUUUCUGGCUAAUUGUCUUUGAGGGGCUAAAUUGGAUUCCUUGAUGGAAAAUAAACAAUCAACUGAAAGUUUCUAAUUUAUCUUUCUCCCUUUCUUGGCUGUAGUAGACUUUUCUCUAAGUGAAUGUUCCUUAUAAUUCUAGACCAAGUCUUUCUUCGAUCUGAAUGACAUGGAAAAUGUUGUUUCAUUUCACAUAUUCAUUUUAUUAUAUUGUUAAAAAAAAAUCUAUGCAAGCCAGUAAAACUUGUUUUUUGUUUAUUAAGCCAAACUUCCAUCUUGUACUGGGAAGCCAUAACGUCAUAGUAGAAGACAAAUGUGUGUGAGCGUGUGAAAAUGACUGCAUAGGACAGGCUGAGGUGCUCAAGCCGCCUCCUCUUGCGAUGUCCACAUAGGAUAGGAACAGUGUCCUGAGCGGCUGAGCUGUGAUUGGUUAGGAGAUAGUGAAAUAUAACCUAGUGUGAAUGUAGCUUUUCAGUUGUUCAUGUGUCCCAUUUAUGAUCAGGGAUGCUUGAGCCAUGUGGGAUAAUAAAAUUGGACACUCCAGAGGUUAUGGCUUUGUCUUAUUCUGCAAUCAGUAGGCAUGCACAACUCAGACCAUUUCUCUUUUGCAUUUUGCAGUAGUUUUACUAUUUUGAUGACAUGAAUCAAAUACCAACUUUACUUUCUACCUAAUAUUCUGGUGUUUGAGUGAUACUGAUAGCUUUUGCAAUGCCUAAAUUUAGCUCGGUGAAUUGUACUCUUAGUGUGUUACCAAUUUGUGGAUGUAUAGCUAUGAAUAGUACUGAUACAUACAAUUUCGCCUCUUCUCUGUAGACUUUGAAGGAUGAAGAAUAAAGAACACUCUAUGAUCAGGUAACAAUUUAAUCCCUCUGAUUACACUUGUCUAUGCUCCUUUGACUGCCAAUGGCUAUUUCUUUUUGUAUGUUCAGGAGAUACAAAGAAUUAAUUGUUUGAAACUUAAGAUAAUUAAGUUUGCAAGAGUCAUCGACCUGUCUAAAAAACUUCAUUGAAUUCUGCACAUAACAAAUUAUUAGGAAGAUUUCUCAAAUCAUGUAAAUGAUUCUAGAUCAGCCAUCUAACUCCAAUACCAUGCACCAAUGCUUGGAACUCAUGCAAGUGUCAUACUCGCAUUACCAAAUCAGGCUACGAAGACAAGUCUUCGUGCGCACAUGUAUGACCUUACCGCUCUCGUCGUUGUUAUUAUUUUCUAAAGAAAAAACUACUGUCAUUAGGCUCUAAAUUUGCAAAGUAACUAGACAACAAAUACAUAUUGUAUCAGAGUUUUCCAAAGAUUUUUGUGGUCUCUGCAAUGUUGUUUGCAGGGAUUGCAAAAGAGUGGCAUUUAAAAGGCAGCUGGCAUUUGAUGAAUUGCUGAAUGGUGGUGGUUGCACACCAUGGGGGACAGUGUUCCAAGAGAGGUCUCAAAGAUGGUUAGAGAUUAGGUACUGACAUAAAAUCUAUCAAUCCUAUCUUCAUGUACAUGUGUGUGUUAGGUACAUCUAAUUAAUCUGUUCUUCUGAUUUAGGGAGGUCAUCUGAAUCUGAGACGAUGUAAAAUUUAUUUUCCUAUUCUUGGAAACUCUUGCGUUGGAGAAUCAUGACGUUCUUCUCAUUGUUACAGGCAGUCCAACGUCAAACAUGAUUGUGCUGAUGUCUGGGUUUCGGCUUGGUGGUGAGGUGCUUGAGGUCACGGCUCUGCGUCAGGAACCUCCUCUUGAGCGGGCUUGUACUUCAUGGUGGUGAGGUCUAUCUUGAUGGUAGACCAGUUGGUUGAUUAAAUGCCAGUAGGAGCAGCUCAGUGAACCACUGAUGUAGUCUCACUGUGCAUCAGUAUUGUUGACCUCAACUUGUCUAUUCAUAUGAUCCAUGUAUCGUAUUUAGUUUCUCUCUAAGACUUGGUAUGCCUGUGUUCUGGUGAUCCGAGGAACUCUGCCUCUCUUUUGGAGAUCAUCCACCUUUUGGAGACUGUUAAACCUUGAUUUGAAAAUCUGGAUGUGUCUAUGACGAGUCAUCCACCUUGUAAGAUUGUCAUCUAUCUGUUACUCCCUCCGUACAAAGUUGAGUCAUCUAUUUUGGAACGGAGGG